rnacentral:tRNA from 1 species
UCCCUGGUAGCUCAGUUGGUAAAGAAUCUGCCUGUGAUGCAGGAGACCCAGGUUCAAUUCCUGGGUUUGGGAA